rnacentral:rRNA from 1 species
AGAGUUUGAUCCUGGCUCAGGAUGAACGCUGGCGGCGUGCCUAAUACAUGCAAGUCGAACGAAGAUCUAGCUUGCUAGAUCUUAGUGGCGAACGGGUGAGUAAUAAAUAAUCUGCCCAUUGGACUGGGAUAACUAUUGGAAACGAUAGCUAAUACCGGAUAGGUGAUUUGAAGGCAUCUUCGAAUCAUUAAAGUAGGGUCACUACACCAAUGGAUGAGUUUAUGGCGCAUUAGUUAGUUGGCGGGGUAACGGCCCACCAAGACGAUGAUGCGUAGCCGACCUGAGAGGGUGACCGGCCACACUGGGACUGAGACACGGCCCAGACUCCUACGGGAGGCAGCAGUAGGGAAUUUUCGGCAAUGGGCGCAAGCCUGACCGAGCAACGCCGCGUGAGUGAUUAAGGCCUUCGGGUUGUAAAGCUCUGUUGUAAGGGAAGAACAUUCAGGAUAGGAAAUGAUCUUGAACUGACGGUACCUUACCAGAAAGCCACGGCUAACUACGUGCCAGCAGCCGCGGUAAUACGUAGGUGGCAAGCGUUAUCCGGAAUUAUUGGGCGUAAAGGGUGCGUAGGCGGUUUAUUAAGUCUAUGGUGAAAGUGCGGGGCUCAACCGGGGAGGGCCAUUUAAAACUGCGUAGCUUGAGAUAGAUAGAGGCAGGCGGAAUUCCUAGUGUAGCGGUGAAAUGCGUAGAUAUUAGGAGGAACACCAGUGGCGAAGGCGGCCUGCUGGGUCUGGUCUGACGCUGAGGCUCGAAAGCGUGGGUAGCAAACAGGAUUAGAUACCCUGGUAGUCCACGCUGUAAACGAUGAUUACUAGGUGUGGGGAUGGAAACAUAACCGUGCCGGAGUUAACACAAUAAGUAAUCCACCUGGGGAGUACGGCCGGUUGAAACUCAAAGGAAUUGACGGGGGCCCGCACAAGCAGUGGAGUAUGUGGUUUAAUUCGACGCAACGCGAAGAACCUUACCAGGUCUUGACAUUGAGCGAAUAUGUAAGAGAUUGCAUAGUUACUUUAGGGUAACGCAAAAACAGGUGGUGCAUGGUUGUCGUCAGCUCGUGUCGUGAGAUGUGGGUUAAGUCCCGCAACGAGCGCAACCCUUACCAUUAGUUACUACGGAUAGAAGAGGACUCUAAUGGGACUGCCGUUGAUAAAACGGAGGAAGGUGGGGAUGACGUCAAAUCAUCAUGCCCUUUAUGACCUGGGCUACACACGUACUACAAUGGCCGGUACAACGGGCUGCGAAGCCGCGAGGUGGAGCCAAUCCCAAAAAGCCGGUCUCAGUUCGGAUUGCAGGCUGCAACUCGCCUGCAUGAAGUCGGAAUUGCUAGUAAUCGCGGAUCAGCAUGCCGCGGUGAAUACGUUCCCGGGUCUUGUACACACCGCCCGUCACACCACGAGAGUUUACAACACCCGAAGUCGGUGGGGUAACCCGCAAGGGAGCCAGCCGCCGAAGGUGGGGUAGAUGAUUGGGGUGAAGUCGUAACAAGGUAACC